UUUUCCCCCUUUCUUUCUUCUUCUUCUUCCUCUCGAUUUCUUCUGAGAACAACAAUCUUUAUCAACCAGAGAUGGAGGCUUCGAGAUUGAAAUAAGAGGAGAUUGAUCCUGCAUUAGAUAACGGUAGCGGUGUUGUUCUCAAUAGCUGAUUCUGACCCAAGGAAACAAGAUAAUUCAGAGAGAACUGGAGAUUAGGUUUUUCAGAUUAGGCCUUGAGAUUUUAUUGAAUUGAUAGGUGUUUUGAGUUGCUGAUGGAUGAAGAAUGAAAUGGAAUUGUUAUCGUGGAGUUAAUUGAAUUGUUAUCGUGGAGUCAAUUUCAUUCAGAAUCAGAGGCACUUUAGGGUUUCUUAUUUGAUUUUCUUUUAAUUUGAAAUUGAGUAUGAAUUGAUGAUUUAUUUCAUGGGUUUACUUAAAUCAAAGUUGUAGGAAUCGUAUGUGGUUAAGUUUUGGGCUCUUUUGUACCAUUGUGUUCCACAUAAUCUUAAGAAGUGUGGAACAAUAUACUGUUGAAAGUUGAUUCGCCAAGAAACAUGUGUACUGUGUCCAUGUAUAGUUUCGAUUUGGAGCUAGGUUGCGUGUGUGUAUUGUCCAUGUAUAGUUUUGAUUCAGAGCUAGGUUGUGUGCAUUAAAUGAUCAUUCGGAGUAGUAUGUAUGUUUGAGGUUGUACUUUGAUCUGUAUUAUUCACCAUAAAUGAAGAUUGAUUUUUGUUUAUUUAGUUUAACAAUGUUAUGAGCCAACUUUGCCAGAGAUGAAACAUUACAGUUUAUAGAACGCCUAGAUAUCGUGCAGCUAUGUGACGAUUUUUUUUAACUAUGUGACGGAUUAUCGCCUAGAUGUGCAGACCACCAUGAGAGAAAAUAUAUCUUGGAUUCAUGGUGACUACACAAGUGAUUUUUAGUUAGGGUUACAGCGUUAUUAGUUCGUGAAGAUAAAGGAAGACGAGAUAGUUUAUUAAUUCGUUAAGUUAAGAUUGUUGUGGUAUUAAGUUGUAGAGAACAAAUUGAAGACGAAUAGUAACAAUAAUCGAUCAAAACUAUGCAGAAGAAGAGAUGGGUGAUGGUGUGGUGGAGUUAUUGUUGAGAUUGAUGUGAGUAUUGCAGGUACAAAGCUUCUGAGAUGGUGAUGAAGCAUGUGAUGCAGACAUAAUUUGAGGUGGUAGCAGGUACAUGACGGUGUUACUGUUAUGCUGAGGCAUUGGUGCCAGAGAUUGAUAUGAAUUGGAUACAAGAGUUGUAAAGAGUAUGUUGUUGCAUCUAGUGGAGAAAUUGCAGGAGCAGAUGACCUAGAAGGACAACAAUGAAGUGCGUUUAACUUUAUUUUGGUUUGUGGCAGCCAGAAGCAAGGAGUAGAAGCAGGUGUUGCAGGAAAUGAAACCGGCAAGUUGGAUGGAGUCUGCUAGCAGGUGGUUACAAUAGUUGAGUAGCAGGUGGUCUUGGUGAUUGCCAUGGGACUGAGGUGAUGCUGAAAUUCCUAGAUGUAUGUUAGGGUGUGAAUCAAGUAUGGGUUGUCUGGUGCUGAUGAUAAUGAAAUGAUGUUAGUGAUAAUGGCUAGGGCCUGAAUUACAGUGCUAGAACAGAUGGCAUUGCAGCUGCAGUUUAAGUGAAGGUUUAUGGAUCAGAUUGAGAUGAUGUGGUUGUGACAGGAAAAUGCAGUUGGUGUUUUUGUUGCAGAUGAAUGUUAUAGCUGAGUUAUGAUGGUGUUGUUGAUGGCAAUGCAAUGGAGCUAAAGCAGUGGGCACUGGUGAAUUGGUUUGUGGAAAAGUUUCUGCAGUUCUGGAGGAGAUGUUGCAAUGCAGAGUAGCGCCUGUGAUGCAGAAAAGAAGAUGCAGUUGGUAUGAGCUGAAGGUUACAGCGAAAGGUAUUGCACCGUGAUGGUGCAACACUGAAGAUAUGGAAGGCGCAUCAUUACAGUAUGGACUAUGAAAAUGGCUCAGGCCUUUGCAACUCUGGUCUAGAACCUAUUCAGCCGAGUCAGAUAGUUGACUCGGUUACUCCGUCAUUGACCGUUAGCUUGACCGUUGUGUUUGACGGCUGACUGUUAAGUUUGCGUCAAUUUUUUCGGUCGGCCCUCCCACUGUGGCAACGGUCAUCUAGUACCUCGUGUAUUAGAUUUUCCUUUUUUCUUUUUUCUUUUUGGGAUAUU